GCUUGCUUGAGGGCGAGACCGGGCGCACGUUGUCUUCUAGAUAUAUAUAUAUUACAGUUUAUUUGCUUUUCUUUCGUGAUUCGAAUAUUUCGAAAGAUAUGUGCGACAGUUGUUUUUAAUUAAACCUUCAAUAUAUUUUUAAUCACAAUGGGUUGUGCUCAAAGUGAAAUUGCCCCUCAAAAUGAAACUCCUAGAAAAGGGUGCACUGAUGUUCUCUGGCUGGUAAUUUAUAUUCUAUUCUGGAUUCUGAUGAUAAUUGUGGCAGCUAUAUCAUUUGUUUAUGGCAAUCCACAAAGGCUCAUCAAUGGCUAUGAUUCCUUUGGGAACACCUGCGGAGUGAAAAACAACAAGAAGUUUAUAAACUUUCCCCUGGCCGGCAUCAGCACAGAAGACAAGAGUUACUUGUUCUUCAUGGACGUCAAUAAUCUUAGACAGUCACUAAAAAUUUGUGUUAAACAAUGUCCUAAUAAGAAACUUGACUCAUUUACUGAGAUUCAGAAAUUUUAUAGAGACACUGGAUCAAGUUUGUGCAGCUAUGAAAUACAUUUAAACAAUGUGACUAGAAAUGAAAAAUUGCAUAACUACUAUGGGCCCUGCCCCACUCUGCCCGUACCUGAUACAUUUCCUUUACUAAACAGAUGCUUCCCAAAAUCAGCAAAGGAUUUAGCUGAAAAGGUUUUUACAGACUUUUAUGAUUUACUGAACAGCUGGGACACUAUCGAGCAGAUGCUCUCUGACCUCUACUCUUCAUGGAAAGAAAUGAUAAUUUGUGUUAUCAUAGCAUUCAUAUGUUCCCUGAUAAUGGUGUCAAUUCUUCACCUGCUGGCUAGUUUGGUGUCCUGGAUAUUCAUGAUCCUCGUCUCUAUUGCGAGUAUUGUGGGGACCGCGUUAUUAUGGUAUACGUACCAUGAGUUGAGGACUGGGAAGAAAGACUUCGCGGGAACUGCUUUUUUGGCUGAAUCCUUCAAAAAUCAACAGGCUUUCUUGUGGUACUCCAUUAUAGCGACUAUUAUUACUGUGAUUCUCCUCCUACUGGUGUUCGUGAUGCGGUCUCGCGUGUCGUUCCUGGCCGAGCUGUUUCGUGAGACGGCGCACUGUCUCGGCUCGAUACCGGCGCUCUUCCUGCAGCCCAUCAUAACGUUCUUCGUCCUCGUGCUCUUCCUCGCCUUUUGGUCUACUGUCGUGGUAUGCCUAGCAACGGCCGAGUACCCUGGUAUCCCUCACAAGUCGAACUUGGUGUUUACCUACCCAACAGACUACAUCGAUAAAAAUGCCUUGGAAGCGCAGAACGGCUUUGGAAACGCUACUAACAAGACGUUUUCGUUCCAAACUGUGAAGUUCGACCCGUUAUGGGUGAAGAGCAUGUGGUGGAUCUGCCUCAUUUGUCUGGUGUGGGGUAGCGAGUUCAUUCUCGGCUGCCAACAGAUGACCAUCGCCGGCGCCGUCUCUCACUGGUAUUUCAGGGGACCAAACGCACAUUCGCCCGUCCUGUACUCAAUUGGCAAGCUCGUGAAAUAUCAUCUAGGAUCCGUUGCUAAGGGCUCGUUUCUGAUCACGUUGUUCAAGAUACCACGACUUAUUCUCACCUAUUUACAUGCUAAACUGUCAGCAAGAGCGGAAAAGGGCUCUGACUGCGCAAAAUGCGGACUCAAGUGUGGCAUAUGCUGCUUUUACUGUCUCGAGAAAUUCAUCCGGUAUUUGAAUCAUAACGCUUACACCAUCAUCACUAUCGAAAGAGUCCACUUCUGUAAGGCUGCAGCUAAGGCGUUCAGCACAAUAGUAAGCAACGCCCUCCAAGUGGCGACAAUCAACAGUAUCGGCGACUUCAUCCUCUUCCUGGGCAAGUGUAUCGUGACUGCCGUGACGGGCAUCAUCGGCCUGUUACUGCUCAAACGCAACUCCGAUCUACACUUCUUCGCUGUCCCCACACUCGUCAUAUGCAUCUUCGCCUUCUUUAUCGCACACUGCAUACUCUCUCUUUACGAGAUGGUGGUUGACUCCCUGUUCCUGUGCGUGUGUGAGGAUAAGAAUCUGAAUGGCGAUGAAGGAAAGUGGAAGACGUCUCGCUUGUCGGACCUCGGGGCCAAGAAGCCGGAAAUUGACGAGGGCGCGGAGUUGCAAAACCUGCAGAACAAGUACUAAGAGUUGUAAUCUCAAUUUGGAUCUGAUCUGAGGUGUGCUAUUUAUACAUCUAGAAGACUAAUGUUAUUUCUACGCUUUACUUUUUAUUAUAAUAUAUCUAUAUAAGCACUGAUUAAUUCACACAAAAUGUAAGAUUGUGUAUUAAUACCUUUUUUGAUAUUUUUGUAUACUAUUGUUGCUAUUCUAGAUGUGAUUUAUUAAUGUUUACAAAAUAUUGAGGAUUACGUAAAGUUUAUUGUGAAGCAUCUGGCCGCAGCAGGUGUUCCAAGCCUUUAGGUAUAAGUCUUUGUAUUGUACACAAAAUAAUGGUAUAUUUUUGUGGUAACAAUAAAUGAUAAAUAGAUUUUAGUUUUGCCUGUUCAACUGCAGACAAAGUAGUUUUAAGUUUAAUUUUAUAUUUAUUUUUAUAUUAAAAUGUAAUGAAGCACAAAUCAAUUUUAUAAUAAGUACAAUUUUUAUUAUUUUUUACUUGUAAUGAUUUAAAAAAAAUUAUACAAGUUUUAUUUUUGAUAAUCUCACGAUUUAUACGCAUUUAGAUGGAAUAGUUGUAUUGCUUUUACAAAAUCAAAGUAAUAUAAUGUCUAUAAUUAUAACCGUCCAUAAAUCUUUGUUAGUGGAGGAUAAAUUACAUCUUGUAUUUUGAGUCAUUGUGGAGUUUUAUUAUUAUUAGGCUAGCUUGGUAAGCUCGACUUGUGUAAAUUGUGUAAUGUGUAUCUAUGAUAGUGUCUACAUUUUCAUUGUACCUUACUCUCGUGAUAUUUUCGCUGUAGCUUUACUAAAUAGUUUGAAAUUGUACGUAAAUCUCCUUAUCGUCGUCUUAUAGUGAAAACGUCGUACGCCCCGUUUUGAAAAAUUCGUUUCAAAUCUGGUAAAAAAUCGUAGUUUUUAUUUUUCCUUGAAACUAUGUUUCGAGGUUUUGUUGAAGAAAAUCACUAAAAUUUUUCAGAAGAUGCUUACGCUGUUUUUACAUAAGGCGUCGUAAUAUUUAGGCACAAAGUGUGAUGUUGAAUUUCAUCUCUCUACCUAUAUUUUCUACCUCAAAUGUAGCUCUUCCUUUUGGUGGAU
rnacentral:misc_RNA from 1 species